rnacentral:rRNA from 1 species
AGUGAACGCUGGCGGUAGGCCUAACACAUGCAAGUCGAACGGCAGCACAGUAAGAGCUUGCUCUUACGGGUGGCGAGUGGCGGACGGGUGAGGAAUACAUCGGAAUCUACUUUUUCGUGGGGGAUAACGUAGGGAAACUUACGCUAAUACCGCAUACGACCUACGGGUGAAAGCAGGGGAUCUUCGGACCUUGCGCGAUUGAAUGAGCCGAUGUCGGAUUAGCUAGUUGGCGGGGUAAAGGCCCACCAAGGCGACGAUCCGUAGCUGGUCUGAGAGGAUGAAUCGCCCCACCGGAACCUGGACAACGGUCCAACCCCCUAGGGGGGGCAGCGGGGGGAAAUUUUGACAAAGGGGGGCAAGCCUGUACAAGCCAGCCCGGGGGGGUAAAGAAGGCCUUCGGUUUGUAAAGCCCUUUUGUUGGGAAAAAAAAGAGGCAGGUUAAAACCCCGCUUUUUGGCCGGUACCAAAAAAAAAAGCCCGGGCUAACUUCGG